ACUAUGAAUGGCCGCGGUACUUUGACCGUGCUAAGGUAGCGCAAUCAAUUGGCUUUUAAUUGAGGCCAGGUAUGAAUGGAAUCACGGAAUUUAGCUGUCUCCUUGCUAAUUCAUCAAAAUUACUAUCUAGGUGAAAAAGCCUAGAAAUAGAAAAAGGACGAGAAGACCCUUAGAGUUUUUCUAAAUUUAGUAUUUUAUUACUAAAACAGUUUAGUUGGGGCAACAUAGGAACAAUAAACCUCCUAAAAUUAAUUAACCGAUGAUUAUAAAUAUGAAUAAACUACCUUAGGGAUAACAGCAUAAUUUUAAAUUUAAGUUUGUGACCUCGAUGUUGGACUAGGAAGCUAAAAGGCUAGCCGCCUUUUAGGGAAGUUCUGUUCGAACUAUAUUUCCU
rnacentral:rRNA from 1 species